UCUGUGAAUACUCUCUAAGAGGUCACUCCCCCCAGGGCUCUGUGCAAGUGGCACAGGGGGGCACAGGGCUCUGCCCCACAAUGUUCAGUCUCUUUCUACAACAUGGGAGAUGAAGCCGGACUUCAUGUCUGUGCCUGCAUAUUCCUGAAACUUCUCAGGGUCUUGUUGACUGAGGAGACAAGCAUGGAGGAAAAGGCC
rnacentral:snoRNA from 1 species